rnacentral:rRNA from 1 species
AGUAACACGUGAGCAACCUGCCUUUCAGAGGGGGAUAACAGCCGGAAACGGCUGCUAAUACCGCAUGAUGUUGCGGGGGCACAUGCCCCUGCAACCAAAGGAGCAAUCCGCUGAAAGAUGGGCUCGCGUCCGAUUAGCCAGUUGGCGGGGUAACGGCCCACCAAAGCGACGAUCGGUAGCCGGACUGAGAGGUUGAACGGCCACAUUGGGACUGAGACACGGCCCAG